rnacentral:rRNA from 1 species
GAUGAACGCUGGCGGCGUGCCUAAUACAUGCAAGUCGAGCGGACGGACGAUGAGCUUGCGUCUCUCUUGUUAGCGGCGCACGUGUGUAUAACGCGUGUAUCACCUCCCUGUCAGACUGAUAACACCUCGGGACACCGGCGCUUACAGCGGAUAAUAUUUUGAUGCACGUUGGUCAAAAGUAAAAUACGGUGUUUCGGUAACUACUAGCUGGUUCCGCGCUGUAUUGGCUAGUUGGUAAGGUAACGGCUUACCAAGGCAACGAUGCAUGACCGAGCGGAGGGGGUGAUCGGCCACACUGGAACUGAGACACGGUCCAGACUCCUACGGGAGGCAGCAGUAGGGAAUCUUCCGCAAUGGGCGAAAGCCUGACGGAGCAACGCCGCGUGAGUGACGAAGGUCUUCGGAUCGUAAAACUCUGUUAUGAGGGAAGAACAUAUGUGUAAGUAACUGUGCACAUCUUGACGGUACCUAAUCAGAAAGCCACGGCUAACUACGUG